rnacentral:lncRNA from 1 species
CGGGGGGGAGGGGCGGCGAGGCGAGGCCUGCGGAGCGGAGGAAGACAAACAUAAAGAUGAAGUGCUUAAUUCAAGGUCACACAAUGUCGGGGAUGGACCUCCAGAUUUCCUUACUGUACUUAUCCUGUAUUACAUGAAGGAAAUGAAAUAAAAAGACUGCAGCCCCACUCCCAGCUACUCAGUGAGGUGGUAGCUAGAGACGGAGUCUUGCUAUGUUGCCCAGGCUGGUCUUGAACUCCUCACCUCAAGCGAUCCUCCCGUCUUGGCCUCCCAAGUGUCAGGAUUACGGGCAUGUGCUAUCACACCCAACCUGAUACAUUGCCUUUAUAAAUUUUUUUUUCUUUAUUCUAAAAACCAGAAAAAACAAAACUGGAUACAUGUGCAGAACAUGCAGGUUUGUUACAUAGCUGUACGUGUGCCAUGGUGGUUUGCUGCACCUAUUGACCUAUCCUGUGAGACGUGGUCUUGUAACACAGUGGUUAAGAAUGUGACUUUGGAGCCAGCCUGCUAGGGGCUGAAUUCUGACUCAGCCAUUUACUAACUGUGUGACCUUAGGUGGAGUCUCACUCUGUAGCCCAAGCUGGAGUGGCGUGAUCUCGACUCACUGCAACCUCCGCCUCCUGGGAUCAAGUGAUUCUCGUGCCUCAGCCUCCUGAGUAGCCGGGACUACAGGUCACAGAAUUUUCCACACUCCUUGACAGAGGUGCUUAACCCUUAUCCAUCAGCAUUCUCAGACAGCACCUCCGGUUAGGGACAGUAUCUGACCGUCCGACAUCCCUGCAGCCCCCAUGUGUCACACAGACUCAGCCUCAGGUAGAUGGUUUCCGUAGAUGGUGGCUUUCUUUGGACCCUUGACAUCAACCAGUUACUA